rnacentral:lncRNA from 1 species
AAACUUCCUAGCUAUAUGGGCGAAAUGAAAAUAAACUUAGAAAUAUACUAAUCAACUGCUAGAAAUAAAAAAAUUAACAUGCCACAGGUUAACGACGACUGAUCACCGAUGGGGCGGUGUUUAGUUUCAAGAUGCGAGUCACGCUUUCAACAACCAAAACGUCUGCGUCAGAUCCCACAGCAAGACAAGGAAACCAAUCGGAUGACCGAGAAAUUAAAAAAAAUUGUCCUAUUCACA